CCUAUACCUGCAGCACCGGCACCGAUAA
rnacentral:sRNA from 1 species